rnacentral:rRNA from 1 species
CAGUUCGGAUUGUAGGCUGAAACUCGCCUACAUGAAGCUGGAGUUACUAGUAAUCGCAGAUCAGAAUGCUGCGGUGAAUGCGUUCCCGGGUCUUGUACACACCGCCCGUCACACCACGGGAGUUGGGGACGCCCGAAGCCGAUUAUCUAACCUUUUGGAAGAAGUCGUCGAAGGUGGAAUCAAUAACUGGGGUGAAGUCGUAACAAGGUAGCCGUAUCGGAAGGUGCGGCUGGAUCACCUCCUUUCUAAGGAGA